CUGGCGGCGUGCUUAACACAUGCAAGUCGAACGGGGCGAAGUGAUAGCUUGCUAUUAUGGAGCCUAGUGGCAAACGGGUGAGUAACGCGUAGGCAACCUGCCCUUCAGAUGGGGACAACACCUCGAAAGGGGUGCUAAUACCGAAUGACGUUUCCUGGUCGCAUGACCUGGAAACCAAAGGCCGGGCAACCGGUCACUGAAGGAUGGGCCUGCGUCUGAUUAGCUAGUUGGUGGGGUAACGGCCCACCAAGGCGACGAUCAGUAGCCGGUCUGAGAGGAUGAACGGCCACAUUGGGACUGAGACACGGCCCAAACUCCUACGGGAGGCAGCAGUGGGGAAUCUUCCGCAAUGGGCGCAAGCCUGACGGAGCAACGCCGCGUGAGUGAAGAAGGUUUUCGGAUCGUAAAGCUCUGUUGAGAGGGACGAGAGAUAUAAUCAGGAAAUGGGUUAUAGAGGACGGUACCUUUCGAGGAAGCCACGGCUAACUACGUG
rnacentral:rRNA from 1 species